UACAGAGGUCUCGAGCGUUGUUCGGAUUCAUUGGGCGUAAAGGGUGCGUAGGUGGCGCUGUAAGUCGGGCGUGAAAUCCCACGGCUCAACCGUGGAAGUGCACUCGAAACUGCGCAGCUAGAGUCCUGGAGAGGAAGGUGGAAUGCUUGGUGUAGAGGUGAAAUUCGUAGAUAUCAAGCGGAACACCGGUGGCGAAGGCGGCCUUCUGGACAGUGACUGACGGCUGAGAUGCGAAAGCGUGGGGAGCAAACAGGG
rnacentral:rRNA from 1 species